rnacentral:rRNA from 1 species
GAUGAACGCUGGCGGCGUGCCUAAUACAUGCAAGUCGAGCGAACGGACGAGAAGCUUGCUUCUCUGAUGUUAGCGGCGGACCGGUGAGUAACACGUGGAUAACCUACCUAUAAGACUGGGAUAACUUCGGGAAACCGGAGCUAAUACCGGAUGAUAUUUUGAACCGCAUGGUUCAAAAGUGAAAGACGGUCUUGCUGUCACUUAUAGAUGGAUCCGCGCUGCAUUAGCUAGUUGGUAAGGUAACGGCUUACCAAGGCAACGAUGCAUAGCCGACCUGAGAGGGUGAUCGGCCACACUGGAACUGAGACACGGUCCAGACUCCUACGGGAGGCAGCAGUAGGGAAUCUUCCGCAAUGGGCGAAAGCCUGACGGAGCAACGCCGCGUGAGUGAUGAAGGUCUUCGGAUCGUAAAACUCUGUUAUUAGGGAAGAACAUAUGUGUAAGUAACUGUGCACAUCUUGACGGUACCUAAUCAGAAAGCCACGGCUAACUACGUG